GCAUAUGGGUGUUUUGUCUGUCUGUAUGUCUGCACACCAGACGAGGGCAUUGGAUUCCAUGGACCCGCAGUUAUGCACAGUUAUGAGCCUCACGUUGGUGCUGGGAAUUGAAACCAAGGCCUCUCAAAGAGCAACCACUGAGCGGUCUCCUUAGCCCCUGCUUUCCUCUUUCUGCCACAUAGUUCCCAGGACUAGAACUCAGGACGUCUGACUCAGCAGCAAACAGUCUUGCCAGCCCCCUUCCCUGGGAGCUUCCUGAGGCCCAGAUUGACCCCCCCACCCCCCAGCCGGUUCCCAGUAAUUACGUGAUAAUCAGUACGGUUUCCAAAUCAUGGGCCAACAGUUUCUCUCUCUUCCAGGUGGGAAGUGUAGACAGUUCUCUCAGUUAUGCCUGAAUCGCCACAGGUGAGUGGGAGCCAGCACCCUGAUGGGCACCCCAACUGGAGCCGCCAUACCAUACCAGUUCACCACCCCUGCCUCCCUCCCUCUGCUCCAAGAGCCAACAGAGUGGUCAACAUAAAUGGAUCCUCAAAGGAAGAGGCCACCGGAGGGAGCCAGGCCUAAGGCUAAAUGGUCUUCCCACCCUGAGGAGAGAGGUCUCCCCAGGCACUGCUGUGAUCCUGCCUAUCCUGUUCAGAUAAAUCCACAUGGUCUCUCUUCCGUGGC
rnacentral:lncRNA from 1 species